ACCAGUGUGGUUCAAUGGUUUGAGCAUUGGACUACAACUCUGGAGACCAGGGUUCCAAUCCCUGCUUAGUCA